CAUUUAGUUUUGUGCUAUCUAACUGAUCUGACGUAGCGUUUGAUAUAAUCAACGAUCGCAAGCAAUAAAAGAAAAAUACAAAUUUUGGAAAAUAGAGUAAUUCGCCCUGCAGUUAUUGACAGUGAUAGUGACAGCAGUGAAGAUAUAGUUUCCACUAAGAAAAAUAGAAAGAAGUUGGAAACAAAUGUGCACGGAAAACAAAGCACAAGCGAAAAUCAAGUAAAACCUAAAGAAAAUUACCAUGUCCUUGAGACAAGCGAUAAACGAAGAAAUUGUGCAGGGUGCUACGACAGACUGCGGAAAACCUUUAAUAGUACCCAAGCAAAAAAAGUUUAAGAAAAUAAAAAAAUAUUGCAGGAAAUGUAACCGAAACCUUUGCAUAACAUGUUUCCAAGACAGGCAUAAAUAAAUGAAAACAUUCUUCAGUUAUUUUACGA